AUUCAUUCUUUCACAUAUUCACUUGACUCCUAUUCGGGGAGCUCCUCCUCUCACCCAAGCCCUGAGUGUGGCCCUGGGCAUAGAGCAGGGGUUUCACGCCCUCGAGGGUGGACCCGUAAGGCCAUUAGGGAAGAUGGAUCAACACCAAAGUGGAGGUUCACAUGGAGACUGCAGUUCUGCUUUCACCCCACACAUUCAGCUCUCACUCCCAGAAUGAAGAAGCAGGGAGUGGCCAGGGGGGAUUCUGACUCAGGGUGGCCGUGGUGAUGAAUUGACUCAAGUGGCUUCCAUAGCAGCUGGUGUAGGGGAAAGGAAUGUGGUAAAAGUAGGCCUCGAGGGCCGGAGGAAGGCAGACAUGGAAGACGAAAGCCGAGUUGUUGAUUAGCACACUCUAGGCUGCAAGUAAGAGAAGCCAACCCAAGUGGUGUGAACAGUAAAACCAUGUACGACCUCUUCAAACAAGUCCAGAUCUAGGUGCCUUCAGGAUCUGAGGCUCAGCAGCUCGACCUCGUCUGGACCCAGGUGUUUCCUCCCUUGGUUCUUCCACCUUAACUUACUGAGACCCAUGUGUUUCCUAUCCUUCCCUCCUACUGGCCAGGACCGAGACCCACCCACGUCCCACAGCAAAGGAGGCUGGGGAAGGGGCCAUGGCAGGUGAAAUCAGUCGGCCAGAAGAAGGGGGACUGGGUGGUGAGUAGAGAGGCAAAGCCACAGUGCUGCCUCCAAAGGGGAUUAACACUUGCUGGGCACUGUCCACCACCCCUACAUCGCUAGCUUCCCCUUUAGUGGUUAACUAAUAAUAGGACCCCAUAACUCUAAGAAGACCUAACCACUCUCAGGCUCUCUCUGUGGGAUAUUGCUCAGAACCUCUGGGGAUGUUCGCAGGCUGCCCCCUCGACCAUCCAGAUGGUUGCCUGGCAAUCAUGAAGAAAGCGCCAUCUCUGGUGGGAGCCCGCAGCCAGGCUGAGGCAUCUCGAGGGUUGACUUUCCCCAAGAGACCAGUUCCUCCUAAAUAAAGGGGCAACUUCAGAGACAGAAGCCGCUUCCAACCCUUCCAAGAAUAAGAAAAUCUAGACUUCGGCUCCAUGACCAGCUACCUGAUUUGUGAAGCCUGGUACAAAACCAGUAACCAGGGAUCUUUGUUUAAAAAUUAUGAGGACUUUCAAGACAAUGCUAGCAGCACAAACC
rnacentral:lncRNA from 1 species